rnacentral:rRNA from 1 species
UACAGAGGUCCCGAGCGUUGUUCGGAUUCAUUGGGCGUAAAGCGCGUGUAGGCGGCUCGGUAAGUCCGCUCUGAAAGUCCGGGGCUCAACCCCGGGAGGCGGGUGGAUACUGUCGAGCUCGAGUCCGGAAGAGGCGAGUGGAAUUCCUGGUGUAGCGGUGAAAUGCGCAGAUAUCAGGAGGAACACCGAUGGCGAAGGCAGCUCGCUGGGACGUGACUGACGCUGAGACGCGAAAGCGUGGGGAGCAAACAGG